rnacentral:rRNA from 1 species
UACGGAGGGUGCAAGCAUUGAUCGGAAUUACUGGGCGUAAAGGGCGCGUAGGCGGUUCAGAAAGUCAGAUGUGAAAUUCCGGGGCUCAACCCCGGAGCUGCAUUUGAAACUUCUAAACUAGAGUUUAGUUAGGGAAAACGGAAUUCCACGUGUAGCGGUGAAAUGCGUAGAUAUGUGGAAGAACACCAGUGGUGAAGACGGUUUUCUGGGCUAACACUGACGCUGAGGCGCGAAAGCAAGGGGAGCAAACAGG